GAUUUUGGGGCUGGAUUUGGAUCCAGGAUUUGGGGAUUUUGGGGGGAUUUGGGAUCCUGGAUGGAUUUUUGGGACCCUGGACAGAAUUUGGGUGCAGAUUUUGGGAUCCUGGCUGGAUUUUGGGGUGCGUUUGAGGGGAUUUGGGGCUGGAUUUGGGAUCUUUGAUGAAUUUUGGGGAUCCUGGGCUGCAUUUGGGAGAUCCUGAAAAGAUUUUGGGAUUCUGGGCUGGAUUUGGGGACCCUGGGCUGCAUUUUGGGCACAUUUCAGAGGAUUUGGGGAUCCUGGGCUGCAUUUUGGGUACAUUUUAGGGGAUUUGGGGCUGGAUUUUGAGGAUCCUGGAUGGAUUUGGGGACCCUGGGCUGCGUUUUGGGCACAUUUCAGGGGAUUUGGGGCUGGAUUUUGGGAUCCUGGAUGGAUUUUGGGAUCCUGAACUGUAUUUUGGGAUUCUGGGCUGCAUUCUGGGUACAUUUCAGGGGAUUUGGGGAUGGAUUUUGGGAUCCUGGAUGGAUUUGGGGAUCCUGGGCUGCAUUUUGGGAUUCUGGAUGGAUUUUGGGCACAUUUCAGGGGAUUUGGGGACCCUGGGCUGUAUUUUGGGCACAUUUCAGGGGAUUUGGGGCUGGAUUUUGGGAUUCUGGAUGGAUUUUGGGCACAUUUCAGGGGGUUUGGGGCUGGAUUUUGGGAUCCUGGAUGGAUUUGGGACCCUGGGCUGUAUUUUGGGACCCUGGGCUGCAUUUUGGGCACAUUUCAGGGGAUUUGGGGAUCCUGGGCUGCAUUUUGGGCACAUUUCAGGGGAUUUGGGGACCCUGAGCUGUGUUUUGGGCACAUUUCAGGGGAUUUGGGGCUGCAUUUUGGGAUCCUGGAUGGAUUUUGAACACAUUUCAGGGGUUGGGGUCUCACCCAGCUGCGAGUGGGAGAAGUCCACGGACCAGCCCACCCGGAGCAGCGGCACCUCGGAGCUGCCCUCCUUCCCCGGCAGGUUCUGGGACACCUGAGGGCAAAUUUGGGCAUUUGGGACCCAAAAAAUCCG
rnacentral:lncRNA from 1 species